rnacentral:tRNA from 1 species
GCAUCAGUGGUUUAGUGGUAAAAUCCAUCGUUGCCAUCGAUGGGCCCCGUGUUCGAUUCACGGCUCAUGUC